UUUUUUUUUUUAAAUUAGUUUUUAAAAUUUACUUGAAAUGACCUUUAUGGGAGGCACAGGCAGGCAGAUCUCUGUCAGUUUGAGUUCAGUUUGGUCUACAGAGUUCCAGAACAGCCAAGGCUACACAGAGAAACUUUGUCUCAAAUAAUUAAAGUAUGAAAAAAGAAAACAAAGAGGUUACUUUAAGUGUAAACUUUUUGGCAAAUGUGAAGCUGUGAAAUUGUGUAUCUCUACAAUUAGAUAAUGUCUACAACCACUCCCUCUUCAGACAGUUUCUUCUCAUUCUAUUUCUUGCAAUUCUUACUUCCCAGUACCCAUCUCUAGGCAAUCAAUGAUCUACUUUUGAAACAUUAGCAGUUCUUUUGAGAUCCAGACAUGCUGGCAUAUGUUUUUACUUAUUUGUUUCUAUUAUUGCAUUGAUUGGCUAUGCCAUAGUUUAUCCAUAUACUUGUUGCUGGGUAUUUGAGUUGUUUCUGUUUUGAAGCUUCGAUAAUGAAUGUGCAUAAGUUUUUAUGUAAUUUGCUUUUAUUUUCCUUAUGCAAAUACUUGGAAAUCAAAGGGAAAAAUACAAUGUUGGAUGUAUGUUUCAAGAAAAAUUUCAACUGGUGAUGUACUUGCUACAGCCUUGUCAAUAGUGUGGUAAUACUAUUUAGUUCUGUGUUCUAAUAGGUAGUCAAAUCCCCAAAUUCUUCUUCUUUAUACAGUAUAUUUCCCAUAUGUUCAUUGAGGAUUUUGCAUAUACAUACAAUGUAUUUUGAUUAUAUUUACCCCUCCCCCAACUUUUCUGAACCUAGGCUUUCUCCUGUGUUCCUCUCUCAACUUCAUGAUUUUGGCUUCUUUGUUUUUUGAAACAUGAUCUCAAUAUUUGUCUUUGAACUGUAGACCAUACUGGCCUCAAAUUAAAAGAGAGAUCCACUUGCCUCUGCUUCCAAAGUGCUGGGAUUAAAGGCAUGUGCCACCAUAUUUACCUCUUUAAAUUUUAAUUAAUAACUCACUGAAUUCAAUUAGUGCUACUCAUAUAUACAUAGGUAGGGGACUUCUUUUUUAAAAACACUAUUGUGGAUUUUUGGUUCUUCACCAUGUGAAUUUUAAAACUAGUUUAAUUUACUUAAUUUUUUUUCAGACAGGGUCCCUCUGUUUCCCUGGCUAUUGUGAAAACUUUCUAUAGAUGCAGAAAUGUUUUUAAUGUUUCCAUUUUUUAUUUUUGUGUGUAUGCAUGUGUGUACUUGCUUGCACAACCAUAAACAUGCAUGCAUGUGGAUGUUUAUUCUGUGGUGAUAAUGUGGAAGUAUAUGUCUGUGUGCAUGCACAUGCGUGCAUAUGCAUGUUCGUCCUUCUGUGCUAGUGUAGCAGUAAAAGAACAUUUUUUUUUUAAAUUUAGUUUUCUCCUUCUAUUAUGUACCUGAUAGGGACUGAAUCCAGCUGAUCAAAGUUUGGAAAAAGUGCCCUAACCCACUGAGCUACCUCACCACACUGAAGCAGCUAGAUGAUUUCUGAAGACAAAACAAAACAAAACAAAUAAAGAAGACCCCAAAGUAAACAAAACAAAUUUCCUUGGAAGUUGAGAGUGAAUGAAAUUUGUAUAUUAAUGCAGAGAGAAAUGCUAUGUUAAAAUUUGGAGCAUUCUGAUGAGGAGACAGAAUGGACUCCAUUCUUUACUUUCUUUCAGGAAUGUUCUAUAGUUACAUUGUACACAUCAUUCUUUUAUCAGAUUUAUUCAAAAUCAUACCAUAGAACUAUGAUUUUGUGAAUUAUACGUUAAAACUCAAUUCUAAUAUCUCAUUAUUAAUAGACACAUGGUAUUGUGUAGGAAAUGAAUUUAUCUUAUAUCCUACAAACUCACUGAUUUGACCAAUCAGCUCUAAGCCUCUGUAAUUUUGUUAGUUUUGACACAGAUGACAUAAUCUGCAAAUGAAGAUGAUUCUUUUUGUUUAUAGUAUGCUCAUGUUUUGUUUCUUUUUCUUCCCUUACUAAUUAUACUUAUCAGCAUAUCCACUGGAUAUCCUCAUUUUUACUAUAACAGAAAAGCAUCCUCUUAAAUAUCAUUUUAGCUCUAGAUGUUUUGCCAGCUGAGAAAGGUUUCUUGCACACUAAUAUGACUAGAGUGCUUCCCAGAAUGCCAUUUUUCUGUGAAUUGAGACAUUAAUUUUUAUUUGUUUUUACUUCUGCUGUAACAUACUGAUUUUCUGAAU
rnacentral:lncRNA from 1 species